rnacentral:rRNA from 1 species
UCUGGCUCAGAUUGAACGCUGGCGGCGUGCUUAACACAUGCAAGUCGCGCGUGAAAGGACUUCGGUCCGAGUAAAGCGGCGCACGGGUGAGUAACGCGUGGAUGAUCUACCCAUGAGUUAGGAAUAACGGCUGGAAACGGUCGCUAAUACCAAAUACGCUCCGAUUUCAACUUCGGGGGAAGGUGGCCUCUGCUUGCAAGCUACUGCUCAUGGAUGAGUCCGCGUCCCAUUAGCUAGUUGGUGGGGUAACGGCCCACCAAGGCGACGAUGGGUAGCCGGUCUGAGAGGAUGACCGGCCACACUGGGACUGGAACACGGCCCAGACUCCUACGGGAGGCAGCAGUGGGGAAUAUUGCGCAAUGGGCGAAAGCCUGACGCAGCGACGCCGCGUGAGGGAUGAAGGUCCUCGGAUCGUAAACCUCUGUCAGGAGGGAAGAACCGCCACGGUGCUAAUCAGCCGUGGUCUGACGGUACCUCCAAAGGAAGCACCGGCUAACUCCGUGCCAGCCGCAGC